GAUGAACGCUGGCGGCGUGCCUAAUACAUGCAAGUCGAGCGAACGGACGCGAAGCUUGCUUCUCUGAUGUUAGCGGCGGACGGGUGAGUAACACGUGGAUAACCUACCUAUAUGACUGGGAUAACUUCGGGAAACCGGAGCUAAUACCGGAUAAUAUUUUGAACCGCAUGGUUCAAAAGUGAAAGACGGUCUUGCUGUCACUUAUAGAUGGAUCCGCGCUGCAUUAGCUAGUUGGUAAGGUAACGGCUUACCAAGGCAACGAUGCAUAGCCGACCUGAGAGGCUGAUCGGCCACACUGGAACUGAGACACGGUCCAGACUCCUACGGGAGGCAGCAGUAGGGAAUCUUCCGCAAUGGGCGAAAGCCUGACGGAGCAACGCCGCGUGAGUGAUGAAGGUCUUCGGAUCGUAAAACUCUGUUAUUAGGGAAGAACAUAUGUGUAAGUAACUGUGCACAUCUUGACGGUACCUAAUCAGAAAGCCACGGCUAACUACGUG
rnacentral:rRNA from 1 species